GUUCACUGCCGUACAGGUAGCUUAGAAA
rfam:Methylomicrobium album BG8 chromosome, whole genome shotgun sequence.